rfam:Rhizobium sp. Pop5 Contig1084, whole genome shotgun sequence.
CUACCGGCGUCGCGAGGCGUCGGGAUGGGGCGGCAGGGGUCAGCAGAAGCCGUAUUAGCCGACCAAGCGGUGAAGGGC